AGUAAAGUGGCGUACGGGUGAGUAACACGUGGGAUAAUCUACCCUAUGGUGGGGAAUAACCUUGGGAAACCGAGGCUAAUACCGCAUAAGUUCGAGAGAAGAAAGCCGCAAGGCGCCAUUGGAGGAGUCCGCGGCCGAUUAGCUAGUUGGUGAGGUAAGAGCUCACCAAGGCGACGAUCGGUAGCCGGCCUGAGAGGGCACACGGCCACACUGGCACUGAAACACGGGCCAG
rnacentral:rRNA from 1 species